GACGAACGCUGGCGGCGUGCUUAACACAUGCAAGUCGAACGAUGAAGAAAAGAAUCGAAGCUUCGGCAGAAAUUCAUUUCGGAUUAGUGGCAGACGGGUGAGUAACGCGUGAGCAACCUACCUCUUACAAAGGGAUAGCCUCGGGAAACCGGGAUUAAUACCAUAUAACAUUGUGACGAAGCAUUUCGAUGCAAUCAAAGCUACGGCGGUAAGAGAUGGGCUCGCGUCCCAUUAACCGGAUGGUGAGGUAACGGCUCACCAUAGUGACGAUGGGUAACCGGCCUGAGAGGGUGAGCGGUCACACUGGAACUGAGACACGGUCCAGACUCCUACGGGAGGCAGCAGUGGGGAAUAUUGCACAAUGGAGGGAACUCUGAUGCAGCGACGCCGCGUGAGUGAUGAAGGAAUUCGUUUCGUAAAACUCUGUUCUAUGGGAAGAAAAGGACUGUACCAUAGGAGAAAGCUCCGGCUAAAUACGUG
rnacentral:rRNA from 1 species